UGGCUCAGAACGAACGCUGGCGGCAGGCUUAACACAUGCAAGUCGAACGCCCCGCAAGGGGAGUGGCAGACGGGUGAGUAACACGUGGGAACAUGCCCAAAGGUACGGAACAACUCCGGGAAACUGGAGCUAAUACCGUAUGUGUCCGUAAGGAGAAAGAUUUAUCGCCUUUGGAUUGGCCCGCGUCGGAUUAGCUAGUUGGUGGGGUAAAAGCCUACCAAGGCGACGAUCCGUAGCUGGUCUGAGAGGAUGAUCAGCCACACUGGGACUGAGACACGGCCCAGACUCCUACGGGAGGCAGCAGUGGG
rnacentral:rRNA from 1 species